GGGUUGUGAGGUUAAGCGACUAAGCGUACACGGUGGAUGCCCUGGCAGUCAGAGGCGAUGAAGGACGUGCUAAUCUGCGAUAAGCGCCGGUAAGGUGAUAUGAACCGUUAUAACCGGCGAUUUCCGAAUGGGGAAACCCAGUGUGAUUCGUCACACUAUCAUUACGUGAAUACA
rnacentral:rRNA from 1 species